rnacentral:rRNA from 1 species
GAUGAACGCUGGCGGCGUGCCUAAUACAUGCAAGUCGAGCGAACAGACGAGGAGCUUACUCCUCUGACGCUAGCGGCGGACGGGUGAGUAACACGUGGAUAACCUACCUAUAAGACUGGGAUAACUUCGGGAAACCGGAGCUAAUACCGGAUAAUAUGUUGAACCGCAUGGUUCAAUAGUGAAAGACGGUCUUGCUGUCACUUAUAGAUGGAUCCGCGCCGCAUUAGCUAGUUGGUAAGGUAACGGCUUACCAAGGCGACGAUGCGUAGCCGACCUGAGAGGGUGAUCGGCCACACUGGAACUGAGACACGGUCCAGACUCCUACGGGAGGCAGCAGUAGGGAAUCUUCCGCAAUGGGCGAAAGCCUGACGGAGCAACGCCGCGUGAGUGAUGAAGGUCUUCGGAUCGUAAAACUCUGUUAUUAGGGAAGAACAAAUGUGUAAGUAACUAUGCACGUCUUGACGGUACCUAAUCAGAAAGCCACGGCUAACUACGUG